GAUGAACGCUGGCGGCGUGCCUAAUACAUGCAAGUCGAGCGAACAGACGAGGAGCUUGCUCCUCUGACGUUAGCGGCGGACGGGUGAGUAACACGUGUAUAACCUACCUAUAAGACUGGUAUAACUUCGGGAAACCGGAGCUAAUACCGGAGAAUAUAUUGAACCGCAUGGUUCAAUAGUGAAAGACGGUUUUGCUGUCACUUAUAGAUGGAUCUGCGCCGCAUUAGCUAGUUGGUAAGCUAACGGCCUACCAAGGCAACGAUGCGUAGCCGACCGGAGAGGCGGAUCGCCGACACUGGAGCUGGAACACGGACAAGACUCCUACGGGAGGCAGCAGUAGGGAAUGUUACGCAGUGGGGGAAAACCUGACGGAGCAACGCCGCGUGAGUGAUGAAGGUCUUCGGAUCGUAAAGCUCUGUUAUUAGGGAAAAACAAAUGUGUAAGUAACUGUGCACGUCUUGACGGUACCUAAUCAGAAAGCCACGGCUAACUACGUG
rnacentral:rRNA from 1 species